UGUGAAUCCAGUUCAGAUCACCUCAAAUGGAGCCACUGAUGAUUCUAUUCUUCAUAAGUGCUUCUCUUUGGGGUUGUCUUGGUUGGGAUUAGUAGGCAGUGGAAGUCUUGUGUUAUGUGUACAAUCAAGGGAAAUUUCAGCAAGUAAGAGAUCCUUUUCAGCUUUAUUCAGAAACACAGCCUUUUCAUAUUAUUCAGAAACACAACAUUUUUACUGAUUUCCAACACAAGAGGGUUUAGGUUUCAUUGCUCUUUUAAUCAUACAAUUACAACCAAUGCCUCAAGUUUGAAGUAUGUAUGCAGUUCUAGUUGGUAUUAUGUGAUAUGUUCUGUAGUUGCAACUGCAGGCUACUAUUUGGCAAUGAGAUACAUUCUCAAAAGUAA
rnacentral:misc_RNA from 1 species